rnacentral:misc_RNA from 1 species
AGCAGCCGCGGUAAUUCCAGCUCCAAUAGCGUAUAUUAAAGUUGUUGCAGUUAAAGAGCUCGUAGUUGAAUUUCGAGGUCGGUAGAUUGGUCAUGCCUCUGGUAUGCACUGGUCUUACUGGCUCCUCCUUCCUGAUGAACCGUAAUGCCAUUAAUUUGGUGUUGCGGGGAGACUGGACUGUUACUUUGAAAAAUUAGAGUGUUUAAAGCAGGCUAACGCUUGAAUACAUUAGCAUGGAAUAAUGAAAUAGGACGUUCGAUCUUAUUUUGUUGGUUUCUAAGAUUGACGUAAUGAUUAAUAGGGAUAGUUGGGGGCAUUAGUAUUCAAUUGUCAGAGGUGAAAUUCUUGGAUUUAUUGAAGACUAACUACUGCGAAAGCAUUUGCCAAGGAUGUUUUCAUUAAUCAAGA